CAUCAUUUCUGGGUGGGAGCGUCGAAGGGCCUAGGCAGCGAGUGGAGAGAGCCCACUGCCCAGUACCAGAACUGAAAGGGUUGGGCUAAUGGCUCUGCCAGGUAUCACUGCUGAUGCAGGCUAUUUUGGGCUCUGACACACAGCUGCCUCUAGGCAGGGGAGAACCAAGUGUUGCAACACUUCAUUAGCUUGGAAACUUCCUUUCACACAGGGGAGCAGGAUCCCAGAGGGGGUCCCUGAUUGGUGGUAACUUCCAGGACUAUCUCAAGCAGUGUUUGGACCUGUUUCAUCUGUAUCUUCCAACUAUUUGGCCGUAAUUCUUCCUUGAGCUAAGCGAGUCAGAAGCUCUGCCUGCUGCCAGGAGUAGAAGGUGUAGAAUUUUUUCCUAACUCCAGUUGAGGCUUUUGAUUCCCUCCAAGCACUUCACCAAAUCAAAGCCAGUCACAGAGAAUGGAGGAGACACCUGCCCAGAAUACCCACCGUCCAGGGAGAUUAAUGUGCUUUGUUCUUCCUGACCGAGACUCACAACCACAUUCUGAGGUCACUCGAGUGCCCCUGUCUCAUACAUGCCAAAGGAAGUUGAAGCUAUAGAGACAACAAUCAAUCAGGGGCUGGUGGUGGUGCUUUUGGGGGUCUAGGAGAGCCCAAGGCCCUGAUAUUUUAAACUCUCCUCCUCCUUGGCAUCUCCAGCAAGUUGCCGCUGCUGGUGAGCUUCGCUGUCUGCCCCGUUGACACGAUGGGUUUCUAGUAGGGGACGCCAUUGAUGGAAGAUCUGUGAAGACAAUGCUCGCCAAACCCCUGACAGAUGUCUCAUUUGACUCAGCAACUCAGGGCGGGGUGGGGGAAAUUCAUAAAACAAAUUCAUUUAUUUCACAAAUACAUGUUGAAUUUUUACUAUGUGCCAGGCAUAGUACCUGCCGAGUCAAGCCCUCGAGGAAAAAAAGCCAUUAAUUAGUCAACGUUCGAGCUCACAUUCUAAUUCUCAACUUCGUGAUUUGUUAAUCCAUCUUAUAGGCGAAGAAAGCGAGGCAUAGACAAGGAGCCGAGCUGAAACUGGCUAGAUUCCGGUAGGGGUCUGAGCCAUCUCUCCCACCUGGAGGCGCCGUCUCCAUUCCUCUGAAGCCCUUUGUGCGGCCCCCUUCCUCGCUGAGUUCUGGGCUGCAGCGGCAGCACUCUGCUCUAGCACUAACUCUGAAGCUGCCAGGGCAGCGUCAGCGGACAGAUGAAAAGGUGCCGGGACAUGCCGGCUGCCAGCCGGGGUUCCGCAAGCUCAGGCCUUAGGGCGGGUCGUGGAGGGGAGGCCCCGCCCCUCGCACGACGGCCUUAAGUGUGCGCACGCGUAGGGGGUGGCUCUUUCUCCGGGCGGCGGCACCGCCCACACCCUGGGACGUCAGCGGCGUGCGACGUGCUUUGCUGUAUAAAUACAGUGGCGCCCGGCCUAGAGACACUUCGGUCCUGAGCGCUUGGGAGUGCGGUCGUUUGCCGGCGUAGCGGCCAGAGCCUGAGCCAGCACUUGCUCUUCGGUGUGGCAUGGCGGACGAGGGGAAGUCGUACAGCGAACACGAUGAUGAGCGUGUUAAUUUCCCUCAAAGAAAGAAGAAAGGCCGGGGUCCCUUCCGGUGGAAAUAUGGUGAAGGAAACCGUAGGUCUGGAAGAGGCGGUUCUGGUAUUCGGUCUUCCCGCCUUGAGGAAGAUGAUGGAGAUGUGGCAAUGAGUGACGCCCAGGAUGGUCCCCGAGUACGAUACAACCCCUAUACCACCCGACCUAACCGUCGGGGUGAUACUUGGCAUGAUCGAGAUCGCAUUCAUGUUACUGUGCGGAGAGACAGAGCUCCUCCAGAGAGAGGAGGGGCUGGCACCAGCCAGGAUGGGACCUCAAAGAACUGGUUCAAGAUUACAAUUCCUUAUGGCAGAAAGUAUGACAAGGCAUGGCUCCUGAGCAUGAUUCAGAGCAAGUGCAGUGUGCCCUUCACCCCUAUUGAGUUUCACUAUGAGAAUACACGGGCCCAGUUCUUCGUUGAAGACGCCAGUACUGCCUCUGCAUUGAAGGCUGUCAACUAUAAGAUUUUGGAUCGGGAGAACCGAAGGAUAUCUAUCAUCAUCAACUCUUCUGCUCCACCCCACACGAUACUGAAUGAACUGAAGCCAGAACAAGUAGAACAGCUAAAGCUGAUCAUGAGCAAACGAUAUGAUGGCUCCCAACAAGCCCUUGACCUCAAGGGCCUCCGUUCAGACCCAGAUUUGGUGGCCCAGAACAUUGAUGUUGUCCUGAAUCGCAGAAGCUGUAUGGCAGCUACCCUGAGGAUCAUUGAAGAGAACAUCCCUGAGCUAUUGUCCUUGAACUUGAGCAACAACAGGCUAUACAGGCUGGAUGACAUGUCUAGCAUUGUUCAGAAGGCGCCCAACCUGAAGAUCCUAAACCUUUCUGGAAAUGAAUUGAAGUCUGAGCGGGAAUUGGACAAGAUAAAGGGGCUGAAGCUAGAAGAGCUCUGGCUCGACGGAAACUCCCUGUGUGACACCUUCCGAGACCAGUCCACCUACAUCAGCGCCAUUCGCGAACGAUUUCCCAAGUUAUUACGCCUGGAUGGUCAUGAGCUACCCCCACCAAUUGCCUUUGAUGUUGAAGCCCCCACGACGUUACCGCCCUGCAAGGGAAGCUAUUUUGGAACAGAAAACUUGAAGAGUCUGGUCUUGCACUUCCUGCAACAGUACUAUGCAAUUUACGACUCUGGAGACCGGCAAGGGCUCCUGGAUGCCUACCAUGAUGGGGCCUGCUGUUCCCUGAGCAUUCCUUUCAUUCCUCAGAACCCUGCCCGAAGCAGCUUGGCGGAGUAUUUCAAGGAUAGCAGAAAUGUGAAGAAGCUUAAAGACCCUACCUUGCGGUUCCGGCUGCUGAAGCACACGCGUCUCAACGUUGUUGCCUUCCUCAAUGAGUUGCCCAAAACCCAGCACGACGUCAAUUCCUUCGUGGUAGACAUAAGCGCCCAGACAAGCACACUGCUGUGUUUUUCUGUCAAUGGAGUCUUCAAGGAAGUGGAUGGAAAGUCUCGGGAUUCUUUGCGAGCCUUCACCCGGACAUUCAUUGCUGUUCCUGCUAGCAAUUCAGGGCUAUGUAUUGUAAACGACGAGCUAUUUGUGCGGAAUGCCAGUUCUGAAGAGACCCAAAGAGCCUUCGCUAUGCCUGCACCCACGCCUUCCUCCAGCCCGGUGCCCACCCUCUCUCCAGAGCAGCAGGAAAUGUUGCAAGCAUUCUCUACCCAGUCUGGCAUGAACCUCGAGUGGUCCCAGAAGUGCCUUCAGGACAACAACUGGGACUACACCAGAUCUGCCCAGGCCUUCACUCAUCUCAAGGCCAAGGGCGAGAUCCCAGAAGUGGCAUUCAUGAAGUGAUCAUAGUCAUGCCUCAGAAGCAGCCCCCCUGUAAAUAGUCCGUGGAUAUUACCGUCUGGUUGUCAUCUGUCAUCUCCUCCUGUCUGGCCCGAGGCCGCCCCGUGACUGUGACCGAGGGAGGGAGGGCUGCCUGAUCCCUCUCCUCGCCUGCCUUCUGGAAGACUUCAGAAGAUUGAGCCUCACUGGUGCCAGGAAGCCAAAGCUUACUUUGUAGAACUGACACUAAACUACCCGAAGGAUUUAGGUGCUUUGUGUACUUAACCCCAGGACCUCCUUACUUUUUAAUAUAAAGAGUGAUACUCCGUCUCAAAAAAAA